GACGAACGCUGGCGGCGUGCUUAACACAUGCAAGUCGAACGGAAAGGCCCUGCUUGCAGGGUACUCGAGUGGCGAACGGGUGAGUAACACGUGGGUGAUCUGCCCUGCACUUCGGGAUAAGCUUGGGAAACUGGGUCUAAUACCGGAUAGGAGCCAUCUUUAGUGUGGUGGUUGGAAAGUUUUUUCGGUGUAGGAUGAGCUCGCGGCCUAUCAGCUUGUUGGUGGGGUAAUGGCCUACCAAGGCGGCGACGGGUAGCCGGCCUGAGAGGGUGUACGGCCACAUUGGGACUGAGAUACGGCCCAGACUCCUACGGGAGGCAGCAGUGGGGAAUAUUGCACAAUGGGCGCAAGCCUGAUGCAGCGACGCCGCGUGGGGGAUGAAGGCCCUCGGGUUGUAAACUCCUUUCGCUAGGGACGAAGCUUUGUUGUGACGGUACCUAGAUAAGAAGCACCGGCUAACUACGUG
rnacentral:rRNA from 1 species